AUGUCUAACACUCCCCAAUCCGCCUCCUCUUCCCCAAUCCCUCGCCGUCCUCUCUUCCUCAAUCCCCGUCCUCCACUCUCUCCCCAAUCCCCAUCCUGACCUUGCGCGGCUGGGAGGAGCAGAUGCCUCUUCCUCCACCUCUCCCGCCGGAGGCCAAUCCCUGCGCGCGCAUUGGCUCCUCCCCAAUCCCCUUUCGCUCCUCCUCCAAUCCCCUCCAUCUCCACGUGCCACAAAGAGAGCAGCGGGUGGUGGCCGGCGGGAGCAGCGCAGUCGCUGCCGCGCGCCGUGGAACGCUGGGAGGAGCUGCAGCAAGCCCUCUCCACAGCCUACCCACGCUGGCGCCGGUGAAGUAGAUGUUGGGGCCUGGCGGAGGAACUACCACGGCGGAUGAGCAGCGCGCGAAGGGCAGGUGCACCGGCGGCCUCGAUUUCGUGCCGUGGAGAGGGCGACGGGAUGGGAGAUGGUCGUCCGCCUCUCGGUCUUCUCCACCCAGCUGGUGGCUGCCUUCGAAUCCAAUCCUUUGUCACCUCCAAGCUCUCCCAUCAGGACCCAUAGAGGCCUGCAGCGGCAGUUGCCAGCCACGUCCAGCCUCACAUGAAACGAAGGUGCCCAGGAUCUUUUCUUCCUUAUGGUUUUCCACCUCCUUCUCUCUCUCUAUUUAGUCCCUCCAAAUCUUAUGUAUGUGCAGAUUCUAUGUAUUAUGCCUGCAAGGUGUUUGAAAAAAUUCCAAGCAGGUUAUUCUCAAUUUUCCAUGUGAAUUCCAAGCAUGUUGUUCUCAAAUUUUGUUUCAUAAUCAAAACAAUCAAAACCAAAUAUUUUAGUUUCAUAAUCUUAAACUGCAAAUACUCAUUCAUUUUAGGCUCAAGAUUUUUUUAGCUAUAUCUGAAUUUUUUGCUUCAGGUUUCAAUGUUCUGUACUAAUAAGAAUGAGGUUAGAUGAGACAACUAUUUUAGUUUUGAUGGGAGAGAUGGAAAUUCCCACCUUCUCAGUUUUCAAGGACAAAGGUGAGGCAUGUGUUUUAUUUUUUUAAACUGAAGCACAAUAUGUGUCUCUUUGGCUUAUAUUUGCAUAUAUUGUCGCAUAUUUUAGUCUCUUCUGGUUUGAAAACUGCAAAAUGAAAAUGAUUAAUUUACUGUUUGAUGUUUGAGUUUAUUGGGAGCUGUAAUUUUUGAGCUGGUUUGUGUUUAGUUGGCAUUAAUUUUCAUUAUGCUUACAUGGUUACUGAUUUUUGAAUUGUUCGACAUUUUAUUAGAUCAAAUGAUUACCGGUUUCCGACCUUCCAUCCAGAGAGCAAUCAGAGGGAAAGCUUGAAGACGCUUUAGGUUAUAUCAACGAUGAUUCAUAUGGUCAAGUGUAUGUUCAGAGAUAUUUAAGUCUAUUUAGAUAUUGGAUAAUAUUUUAGAUUGAUCUUUGGGUGCUUUUUUCUCUUAUUGUAUAGAUCACUUUAGUUUCACAAUUUCUCUUGUCAUUCCAAUAAUUACCUACUACUAUUUCCAGUCUGCUGCACUCUAUAUGAAAAAUCUGGUCUGAAUCAUUCAAACUGUGUUUUGGCGAGGAUAGGCUUCUCCUCUGUUUUAGAUACAACAUUUAUAGACAGUGUUACAUGAACUGAGCACCUACUGUAAAUUCAUAUAAAAUCAGAAAACAAUUUUGAAAACAGGGCACUAAAGCUAGCUUUGGUUUAGAUCUAAUAUCUUGCAAUCAAAACUGACCGAGAAAUAACACAAAAAGAUCAUGUCCAGCUAGGUGUACAUAGGCUGAUGAUGUCCACUUCAUUUCAAAAUGUGGGAACUGUGAAACACAAAUACCUUGAAGCAUAUAUAUAUGAUCUGAAAUUUGAGAAGUACCACUAUAUAUGUUCUGCUGCAAAUACUAUAGCAUAUGACAAUAAAUUUUGCUCUUCAAAAGCUACACAAGCAGAGAAUUACUACUUCUGUAGACUAAUCAUUUUUUUACCUAUCGAUAACUACCACUUGCUUACAUGAAGCUAUGACGAUGUGUGUUUGCUCCCAAGACAGACAAGAGAAACUAACUCUUGAGAUUCUAUACAGCAUGUGAUCUCCAUGAAUUUUGAUUACUCUUUGUUGACUCUGUUAACUCUUUGGUAGCAACUCUCCUGUUUUCAGAUAUGCUUACCCAUAGGAUGUUCUUUAAGAUGAAUACUUUGUAGAGACUGAACCAUGUAAUUCUUUCAAGUAAGUUUACAAUAAUAAUCUUGCACUAAUUCCGGUUUGUUCCAUCUUUAUCUAUAUCCUGGUGAACAUGCUAAAGAAACACGCUUGCCUGUCCACAAGCACUUUGUAGGUAUGUAGUUUUUCCAAAGUGAUAUGUCACCUUCAACAAUCAUCCUUGUCUGGUUAAACGCGAGGAUGGCACUAUUGGGCCCAUCAUAUUCUCCAUUUCGAAAAAAAAAUUCGGACCUUCAAAGAUUAUAACAGCCAUGCUCAUAGAGCAUCAUUUCUUUUUUCUAUCUAUUAACCCUGCUUUAGUCAGCAGUUCCAAUCCUAAAAAAUUUGGUCAUAAACUUUUUUUUAGGAAGUUCUCGAAUAUAUAAUAUUUGAGUCAAUGUAUUUGACAUGGGUAGUGCAACUUCAAGUGCAUUCAGAUGCUUUCGUUGUUCUUCUGCACACAACCUGCUAUGAAAUGACUAAAGAAUAACAAUUUCGCAUCUUGCAGGAAUUAUUGCAGGUGUUUGAAGAGAAAAUAUACUUAGGAAGGAAUGAGCAAUCAUUGCCGCAUCUAUUAUUUUGUAGAUAAGCUCCACUCUUGCCUCAUGUGUUGUAUUUGAUGAGCGCGCACAGCAUGUUCGGAUUUGCUCUAUCCUGCCCCCAUUUUCAAGCAAUGAAUAAGGUGGUGCAUGCUUGAACUGAGCAAGACCUGAGCAUGAACUACCUAAUACUUGUGCUGGCUACCGACGGAAGAUCGCGUGUGCUCAAAACUUGCUCCUUGCAAUUAUGGGGGCGGGAUAAAAUUCUGGCUAUACAUGCAUCCAAAGGUCUAUCCUAAACUUUAUGCUCUACUUGCUGCUAUAUGUUUUCUUUGGUUUGUGUGAGCAUAUAUCUUCUUUCGGGAAUUUUCACAGCAAAACAACGCUGGAUAGUUACUCUGUCAAGUAAUAUCUCCAUUUCACAACAUAAGCUGUGUUAGCAAAAUAUUUUACUUUGCUAAAAGGACUUAUAUCAUGAAAUGGAGUGAUAUUUGGCAUUGGAUCAGUGUCCAUGUGUCUCUUUGAUAGUUCAGCGAUUUUAUACUUGCAUGAACCUUGUCAGAUAUAGCAUUCACUGUUUUGUACUGUAGCGAAAAAGGUAGUGUUGCCUACAGAACCCCAAAUCUAUUUAUGGCGUAAUAUACCAAUUGCUUUUUUUGUACUAUAUCUAUUUGUUCAUUUUCAGUUCAUUGUAUCAGUUCCCAAGUUUUAUUUCCUCUUGUAUGUGUUGGGUUACUACAUUAAUUUAAAGUGGAAGUGCCUUUUUUUAGUAGCUCUUGUGUGAUAUUUGUGUUUAUUUCCUGCAAGUUAGCUUGCUCGGGUAGAGGCAUGCCACACACUUGAUAAUGCACACCAUAAGACUUCUAGGCAGGAAAGUUCUAACAUCCUUUGGCGUACCACACACAUGCAUAAUUGAAUGGUACCGUGGAUAAUUUUCUGUUUGAGUGCAAGCCUCACCAUUUGUUUCUCCGGUGAACUAUGCAUCACACACUAAAAUUUAAUAGAGGCACAACAUGUUCGGGAUAAGUCUGAAUAUUUUUGCAAUAAUGAAAUAAAAGGCUGUAUGUAUCAUUUUGAUACAAAGGCUGGGGCUUUUUCCCCCCCUUUCGAAGAAAAAAAUAGAAGCACGACAUAUUUCUCAUUUCUCUUCACAAACUAUAAUGGUUUGUUUAACUCACGUUGCUUCUUUAUAUAUCUAAUAAUGACUUUGCUUUUUACCUCUUUGUUAUAAUCAUAUUUUAUGUUCCAUACUAUAAUGGUCUUCGUCCUUGCUGGAUGCCCGAACCAUUACCAAAGAGUGAGGCCUAGGAGGAGCUAGACAUUGAUUUAAUUACAUCGGAGUUGAGGAUCGUUCCCAGUCUGGCCAAUUCACUUUCAGUGUUAUGCUUGUAAGCUCUUGGGUGACUUCUUGAUGCAUGGACCAUUGCUUGUCUUCCUCCCUACUUGAAAUAUUGUGUUUUUCAUACAUCACUCUUUGCUCUGAAAUUAAUUAGUAGAACAUUUUAGGCUUCCAUAGAUCUGCUCAAAAUUGCCCUAGCACACAGUAGCAUGGAAUUUUCCUACUAGCUAUGUCAGUGUGAUUGAUAUUUACCUUCUAUCUGGUUAUGCCGUGGAAAUAAGAAGCAGUAAAUAGUUUCAUUGUCAUCCAAGCUCCAAAGUAGUGCUUUCACUUUGAAACUAAUUUGUUUCUCCAAUAUAUCUCAUCAUAUUUUAAUUAUAGGCCAGAAAAUAUAUUUGGGGUUAUUAUAACUACGAAUGAAAAUCAUGUACAUAUGUCAUAUCUGAUCUCUGCAAUGUGGUCAAAGAUUGGUUGUUUUUAAUCUACCACCAAGAAACUCUUCCUUAUUCAGGGUAUCAGCUUGUUAGUAUGAAUUAUUAGCUGAAGGAGGUUCAGAGUAGCACAUCUCAUGCAUGCUAGCUAUUUAUAGAAUGAGUGCACCAAGGGAGCAACAUAGAGGCAUGUAGCAACCUGAUGAUGGAGAAAUGUAAAAAAAAUCAGCAGACAUGAGUUCACAAUAUUUUCUUCAGGAGGUAUGAUACUCGAAGCAGCCUAUGAGACAUUAUUACAUAUUUACAGUUGAAAUACAGAAAUGAUCUAUAGAAUUUCGUCUUUACUGAUUCAUUAUGUUGUCAGCUGACAAUGUAGUAGCUGUGCUAGAAUGCAUGCUAUUUACUACUGUAUGCUUAAUAUCAUAUUGGUGUAAGCAAUUGGUUUAAUAAUUAUAUAGCUCCAAGUAAGUUAAUAAUAUAGUUAAAUGGAUAUAAAUGAUGAUACUAUAAUUGAUUUGAAAUUCGUCCUUACUUCCCAGCAUAUUUAGCAUAUUUCUCACUGUACAAUCCUGUUGACAUAAUCAAAUAUGUGUUGGGGGUGUUUUUGUAGGAUAUAAGAAUUGGGCUUUGAUUAAUGAUGGGAUUAUGCAGCAGCAAUGCAAUCUUCACCAGCAAAAUUUCAGAUGGAACUAUUAAGCGUGGAAAGGAUAAAGAAAUAAUAAUUUUAAUGUCAAAAUAAACACUCUAUAAUAUGAAACCAUUUCCUUCUCUACAAAAGAAAUUAAGAACGGAAAGAAAUGUCUUUACAUAACAUUUAAACUCGAAGAGCAUAUUGUGCAUACUAUAUCUACAGUAAGCAUGAGAAGUCUUAGCAGCCAUGAGAAAUGCCUUUUUCCUUUUUGUUAUCGCUGUUGCAUUUGGUUGCCAAAAGUGUCUGGGUCUCUUUAUCUUGCAUCUAUAAAAGCAUCAAAAACAUUAAAUGUGUGAAACUGAAAUUUGGUAGCAAAUUGAACUGUACUUCACAAGUGGCUAGAUUUAGUUCUGUCGGUUCAGGUUGUAGGAUAAUAUCCUUCUAGACCAUUUCACUUCCAAACUACAAACAUUCAAUAUAUGUUGUAUUGUCCAUAAUUUGUUUGCCUCUGUCAUUGAACUGCAUGCUUUUUAAUUUAAAUCAUCUCUGAUGUGUGAAGAAAUGAAUUGUUUUGAAUUGCUUCUCAGUUCUGAAAUCAGCUUUUUUUCUUGAUGCAUUGUUAUGAUAUUUUCGCACUAUUGUAAAUAUUUUGUCUAUCUCUCAUCGAACAACUUAUUUUACACUUUACACUGCUGGGCCCUCUCUUAUGAUUACUUCAAAAGUAAUUAUGUUAAACAUGGAUGCAUCUUGAGAGCGCUGUUAAACUAUUGUUUAGCUAAAAAGGAUUAGAGGUACACUAUCUUUUCAUCUGGUUUGUAUUGUAAACACAUGCCGUGAUACUACAGAUACACACAAAAUAUUUUACCCAA